rnacentral:rRNA from 1 species
AACGAACGCUGGCGGCAGGCUUAACACAUGCAGGUCGAACGCCCCGCAAGGGGAGUGGCAGACGGGUGAGUAACGCGUGGGAAUCUACCUAGUUCUACGGAACAACACAGGGAAACUUGUGCUAAUACCGUAUACGCCCUACGGGGGAAAGAUUUAUCGGAAUUAGAUGAGCCCGCGUAAGAUUAGCUAGUUGGUGAGGUAAUGGCUCACCAAGGCGACGAUCUUUAGCUGGUCUGAGAGGAUGAUCAGCCACACUGGGACUGAGACACGGCCCAGACUCCUACGGGAGGCAGCAGUGGGGAAUAUUGGACAAUGGGCGAAAGCCUGAUCCAGCCAUGCCGCGUGAGUGAUGAAGGCCUUAGGGUUGUAAAGCUCUUUCAGUAGGGAAAAUAAUGACGGUACCUACAGAAGAAGCCCCGGCUAACUUCGUGCCAGCAGCCGCGGUAACAC